rnacentral:lncRNA from 1 species
CCAGGGAUGCUCUACCACUAAACCACAUCCCUGUUCCUUUUUAAAAAUUUUGAGAUGGGGUCUUGAUGAGUUGAUUAGGGCCUCACUAAAUAACUGAGGCUGGCCUUGAACUUGAGAUCCUCCUGUCUCAGCCUCCUGAGUAGCUGGGAGUAGCCACUGCCAUUGCCUUGGGCUGAACCAGGACAAUUUUCACUUGCUUACUUUUUCUUUUUUUUUUUUAGUUGUAGAUGACACAAUACCUUUAUUUAUUUUUAUGUGGUGCUGAGGAUCAAACCCAGUGCCUCACAUGAGCUAGGCAAGCGCUCCACCACUGAGCCAGCACCCCAGCCCCACUUGCUUACUUUUGUAAUGAGAUAGGACUUACUCAGAAUCCCAAGUGCACAGCUCCAUCAAUGCUGCACGGCUGAACGUGUGAGGUCACCGUGCACCCAUCGUCUCCUGCCCCUAAAUUCUCUUCCCCAGUCUCAUCAGCUCAAAAGAUCAUCACUAGGGUUCCUCUGUCUCCACAGAUUCAUCGCAUCUGUUUUGAACUCUGCAUGAAUACCAUGAGGAAGGAAGGUUUUGUGUCUGGACCCUUUUGCUUGAUGUAUGUUUGCAGAGCUGCCCACGUCCCCGGUGGCAGGAGGCUGUUCAUUUUGGUGGCUACAUUGUGUUUCAUUAUUUGAAUGUCUGCCAUAAUCCAGCUGCUACUUGAAGGAAAUGAGCAUAGUUUCCAGUUUUUUUCCAACACAUCACAAGCAAUGCGGUAAUAGGCAUCUUUGAGCACACACCUCUGUGGGCUCACGCUUUUAUGUCUAAGGAAGGACUCCAUCUUUCCAUUUGUUGAUGAGAAUUAAAGUUUCCUUUUGAUACUUAUCCAAGGACUUGACGUUCCUUCCAUCUGGAGCUCCAUCCAGUGACAGGACUUCAUUGAUGGGACCUCAUUGACGGGACCAGAUCUUGCUGAGGAGCAGUGGGAUGUACCUCACGGACAAUGGACAGCCAUCAACAGCUCUAAGCAGAGUGGCGGGGGAAGAUGUGUGUUCCGGAAAGGUCUCCCUGGCUGCAUGGUGGGGGAGCCGUGAUGUGGGACACUGUGGAGGCAGAGACCACUGUUGAGAAGAGCAGCUGAGGCAGGAGGGGACAGCCCUAAAAGAUGGAGGGGAAAAACUGACCAGCCCCAGGGAGUGGCCAGUGGAGGGGGCAGCCUGGGGGUGAGGACAGACAGGGCAUAGAAGGGUCAUGAGACCUGCUCCAUCUCGCCCAGGCCCCGGCCCAGCAGGGUGGCCCUGACUCAGUAGCCAGCCGCUAAGGUUCUGCCCCACUCUUAGGGGCUGGGUCUGUGUGGCGGCCACUUCCCGAGUCCUGCUUUCUCUCUCCACCCAAAUGGGCCCCCAGCCCCACAGGGAGGCCUGAAGCCCUUCUGCUGGGUGAGUCUGCCAUGACACGGUGGCCAGUUCCCCGGGGGAGAGGACGGCCUCCUGCCUCACCUGGUCUCGGCUCCACACCUCUCCUCUGGAGGCCUGUCUACUCCCCACUAGCACGUCCAGUCUGAUGAUUACUUCAUGAGGCAGGAAAACCAGGUACCCAUCUAGCACUUACCAAAUCCCUGGGAAGGCCUCCUGCCCCUGCUGGGAAGGCCUCCUGCUACAACAUGGGAACAAGAGGCCUUUAGCAUCAGCAGAGGCCGCCAGCCACCACUUCUUGCAGUUGGGGUGAAUGGGGAGGCUGUUCCCGUUCCUGCCAGGAGGGGCAGACGCAGGGCCGGAUGGUGGCAACCCCGAGAGGUCUCCCAGCCCUACCUCAGACAGCCCGUGAUGGACUGCCAGAGAGGCCUGCUCAGCUGCCAAGCCCACACUGCCAAGUGCCCACCAGGAGCCUGCCAACUGCCAGUCAGGAGGGGCCAGUGAUCAGGAGGAGGGCUGCCAACUGCCUGUCACUACCCUGGCCAACUGUCAGUCAGGAGAGGACCAAGCCCCAGGAAGUCAGGGUUGCCCGUCAGGCAUCAGCCAACUGUCACUCAGGAAGGCCCGCGGCAAGCCAGGGCGUCCGGCAGUGGUCAUUCUGCUGACAGAUACUGUUCCCGCUACCUGGCAUCUUUUCACCUUCCCUGACACUGGGCUUUCAGGGCUACCCCUCCCCAGCGCUCAGUCCCUGCAUCUCUGUGGGCUGGUUUCCUCUUUGGCUGCCAGGACAGACCACAAGGCUCAGGUUUGGCCAAUUAGACCACUGCCUUCCUCUGCCGUUGUGAUUGGUUUAUGCCUGGACCUGGCUCUCAACCCCGGCCAGCUGUAACCAAUCAGAACCAACGCUGGGUGAGGAGUCUUCUCUGGGGUGUGAGACUAGCAGCCAGCUUGCCAUCGCUGGAGCAAGAUGCUGAGAAGGAAGCCAGCCCCAAGGAUGCCAAAAUGAAGGGCAGAGAAACUGGAUCCGGGUUCAGGUCCUGGAAAUACUGUGUGCUCCUGGAUCCAGCCAUACUGAAACCAGUCACCACUGGGCCUUCUAGUUGUGUGAAUCAAUGAAUUCCUCCCUUUGGGCCUAGCAAGAAACAUCGUGAGGAGCACCAGCAAUCACUCUGGGAGUCUACCAGUGUCUCCGGGGCCCAGAUGCUGGUCAUGGCUUUAGUGGGAGGCUAGGGAUGUUUCCAGAGGAACUUCUGACUUAAAGGGCUAGACAAGCGGCUCCAUGUUUGCCCUCCUUGCCCCAGACUGUGGAGCUAUUGGCAUGAUCAAGAUGUUGCCCACGGGCUGGGGCUGCGGCUCAUUGGUAGAGCACUCGCCUAGCAUGUGCGAGGCGCUGGGUUUGAUCCUCAGCACCACAUAAAAAUAAAUAAAUAAAAUAAAGGUAUUGUGUCCAACUACAAGUAAAAAAAAAAAAAAGAUGUUGCUCAAGCCUCAGCAUCAAGCAAAGCUGAGAAGUGGGGGAUUUGCCCCAGUGAGGUGGUAUCUGGAGCAAAGACUCCCCUGGGGUCCAGUGGCAAUGGCAGCAGCAGCAGUGGUUUGGAGCUUCCUAUAUCCUUUCCAGAAACUUCAGGGAGAGUCAGUGUCUUUGGGGAUUGGGACAAAGAAACCCACCAGCCCCUUAUACCCUCAGGGUGAAGCAGCUGCAUCUUCUGGGGACAAGGAACAGCCGACUCAAGGCUGCUUUCUGCAAUCCUGCCUCCUCACACUUGUUAAGUGUCCUUCCAUGCACCUGGCAGAGCACUGGGCACAUUUCAGGUGCUCCAGGAAUUAUUGGAGGUAGGGGGACGAUCUGCCCAAGAAAAGGAAGGGGAGAAAGUGUGCCUGCCUGAGGAAGGCUGGGACGCUGUUAGUCAAAUUUCUGUUGCUCUGAUAAAAUACCUGAGAAAAUUCUAAAAAAGAGAAGGUAAUUUUUGGCUUAGUUUCAGGCAAUUGGUUUUGGGCCUGGCAGAAUGUCACUGUGGGCGGUGGGCAGCUUGCCUCAUGUGGCUGGGAAGCAGACAGAAAGAGGAAGGGGCUGGUGUCCCAAUCUCCCCUUCAAGGACAUGCCCCCAAUGACCUAACUGCCUCUCACUAGGCCCCACCUCCUACAAGUUCCACCACCUCCCAGUAGCACCAAGGACUGAGAUCAAGCCAUUAGCACAAAGCCAUUUAAGAUCCAAAUCAUGGUAGGUACCAAAGAAGUCAUUGACCUCUUCCUCCCAGCUCAGAAGUGACUGGGCUCAGAGGUAUUGGAAUCUGACAGCAGUGUUGACACGGCUAUGCCAGGAAGAGACCAGGUGGGGCCGGAUAAAGAUCUCGAUGAAUCACGACAAGUGCCAGAACCACACUCUUACAUCUCAGGCUUCUCAUUCAAGAAGCCACAAAACUCAGGGAUUGAAAGUCAGGAGUGUGCAGCUCCACUCUGGGGUUCAAAUCCGGCUCCACCAGCACCCCUAUAAAAUAAUCCUGGGGAGAUCCUUUUACCUGCUUCCAGCUCAGCCUCCUAGAGCAGGUUAGAUUUUCACUACUAAUACAUAUACCUUACUCACACACAGGGAUUGAGUACUGUGAUUAUAAAAUAAGUAUGAUUUAUUAAUGUCUUACUAGGUGUUUACUGGCACCAAACCCACCCGUGUUAGUUCACUAUGUGACUUACUCCCUAGGUUUUCAAAGCCACUCUGGGGGACAGAGCUAUUGGUCCCAUCCCACAGAGGAGGAAGUUGAGGCUGAGGGAAGUCAAGAUCAGGUUAAAAUCAAGCUCAAGUUCCCAGAGAGCCUGGCUCCAAACCCCAGACUCUUUGCUUCUCCGCGCGCGCCCCGUGGCAGCAGCUGGAGCGGCCACUCGGCUUCCCUCGGUGGACAGCAAGCAAGGCCGGCCAGCCAGGGAGCCAGCCCAGCCCCAGCACAAUUGCCCCGGGGAGCCAGGGUGGUGUUGGGGGAUAUUUAGCUGCAUAGCGCACUCCGCAUGCCAGGGCUGUAGGAGCCCACACGCCCAGAGCCAGGCCUCAGGCUGGGGCUCUGCCCAAGCCACAUGUGACCUCCCCAAGCAGGAUCCAGUUACAUCACAGCAGCAGCCCAAGGAACAGACCUGGCUGUGUCUCCCACCACGUGCUUAUUUCCUUUGCCUUGUGAGUGUUGAAAAAUGAAAGGAAUGAUAAGGGUUUGGGGAUGUGGUGGGGGGCUGGCUGGAAAAUCCUGCAGAACUUGGGUAACUCAGCCAGAGGGAGGCACGGAGGAGUUCUCAGAGAGAGAAAAAAAUCUCACAAGGUUACAGGCACAGCCUGGGAGCAGGGGCUUCUGGAUUCCUGCUCCCCGUUGGGGGUUGAAGGUCCAGCCUUGGGACAGAAGGUUCACAUCCUGGGGUUCUGCUGCUGGCCUCCCAGGGCCGGGCCACCACAGCCCUUUGGGCCUCAGCUACUCUUGCAAGGAAGAGUUGGGGAAAUGCAUGCAGACCAGAGGCCCCUGAGGGGCAGUUUUGCUCCUCGGGGACAUUUGGAAAUGUCCAGGAACACAUUUUUUGGUAGUCAGAGCUGGGAAGGGCAACUAGUGAGUAAAGACCAGGGAAGCCAGACACCCUCAGUGCCCACGAUGGCCCCCGCCACAGAGAAUGCUCCUGUCCCCAGUGUCAAGAGCCUGUGGUUUAGAGAAGGCCGAUGUGGAGCCUGGAAGGUGUAGCAGCGCAGGCCCAUCGGGAAGCUUAAGGGAAGGCGGCGGGAGGAAGGGGCGUCCUGGAAGCCUCCACGUGGGCUGCCUCUGAGGAAGCGUCUGUGUCCAUCAGACAACAGAUGUUUACCCAGUGUCUAGCGGAGCCAGCACUCUGCCAGGAGCUGGGCAGAAGUGGACAACUUCUCACCUCAUGCAGUGUCUGGUCCAGAGGGGCAGAAAGAGCCAGACGGAGUAAGCAAGCAAGUCAGUGACAUGGCCCCCAACACCAUCAAGGAUGGUAAAUGGAUGAACAACUGCCGUCUGUCCAGACACUGCGAGACUGUUCAGCCACCGAAGGAGGAUGUCCUGAUGCAACUAUGACCCGGAUGAACCUGGAAGGCCUUAUGCUCAGGGGAAGAAGCCCAACCCUGCAGAUCACGUGCCACUGAUGGCAUUGCUGUGAAAGAACAGGAAAAUGUGUAGAGACAGGAAGUAGCUGGUUGCCAGGGACUGAGAGAGCUGGGGGAAAUGGAGGAGGACUGGUAAAGGCU